rnacentral:pre_miRNA from 1 species
GGGGGGAGGCCAGAUCCUGAGCUGUGUCCUGGCGCCCUGGGCUCCCGGUCCUGCGCUAUUGGAUUCGCGCUCCCGCCCCGCAGCCCCCU